GUGGAGCCCAGGGGUUGCCACAGCGGGCUGCGGCAGCUGGAUGGAAAGCCCAUCGGAAGCCUGGUAGGGGUACCAGCCCACCACACAGAUGCUGCUCUCCUGAGAAGGAUUCUCUUAUUACUGGAAAACGUGUUCAAUACCCAGGGAUCACUCAGCACAAGGUCAAGAGCUGACUGUCAGCAAGAAAGAAAAGCAGAGCAAAGAAAUGAAGACCAUGUGAAAGGAAAACAUUGCUUUCAAGGCUCUGCCUACAAGGUCCACAUGAAAGAAGAUCCUGCCUAAAUGAAGCCAACAGAGAGAAAGAAUCCUGGAGAAAGUAAGAACCCUAGGCUUCAUGGCAUCCAUUGAGUGCCUGGAUCUGCCUGUUUCUGAAGCUGGAUCUGCAUUUCCCACCCGCCUAGAUUUUGCAAGCCAG
ensembl:lncRNA